rnacentral:rRNA from 1 species
UGGGUGAGGCGUGAUGCGUAGACCUUUGUGGUUGAUGUUGGUGAUCCUGUACUGUCGAGAAAAGCCUCUAGCGAGUGCAUAUAUGGCCCGUACCCAUAACCGACACAGGUGGUCAGGUAGAGAAUACUAAGGCGAUCGGGUGAACUGUGGUUAAGGAACUCGGCAAAUUGCCCCCGUAACUUCGGGAGAAGGGGGACCAUUGCUGGUGACCGACGUGGUUGAGCUGGUGGUGGUCGCAGAGAAUAGAGGGAAGCGACUGUUUAUUAAAAACACAGGUCCGUGCGAAAACGUGGAAGUUGAUGUAUACGGACUGACGCCUGCCCGGUGCUGGAAGGUUAAGAGGACCUGUUAGGGCAUUUUUUGUCCGAAGCGGAGAAUUUAAGCCCCAGUAAACGGCGGUGGUAACUAUAACCAUCCUAAGGUAGCGAAAUUCCUUGUCGGGUAAGUUCCGACCUGCACGAAUGGCGUAACGACUUCCCUGCUGUCUCAACCACAGGCCCGGUGAAAUUGCAGUACGAGUAAAGAUGCUCGUUACGCGCGGCAGGACGAAAAGACCCCGGGACCUUCACUAUAGCUUGGUAUUGGUGUUUGGUUCGGUUUGUGUAGGAUAGGUGGGAGACUGUGAAGUGGUCACGCUAGUGGUUGUGGAGUCGAAAGUUGAAAUACCACUCUGAUCGGAUUGAGCACCUUAACCUUGGCCCAUGAUCUGGGUUGGGGACAGUGCCUGGUGGGUAGUUUAACUGGGGCGGUUGCUCCUAAAGUGUAACGGAGGCGCCCAAAGGUUCCCUCAGCCUGGUUGGCAAUCAGGUGGUGAGUGUAAGUGCACAAGGGAGCUUGACUGUGAGACUGACAGGUCGAGCAGGGACGAAAGUCGGGACUAGUGAUCCGGCACCUACUUGUGGAAGUGGUGUCGCUCAACGGAUAAAAGGUACCCCGGGGAUAACAGGCUGAUCUUCCCCAAGAGUCCAUAUCGACGGGAUGGUUUGGCACCUCGAUGUCGGCUCGUCGCAUCCUGGGGCUGGAGUAGGUCCCAAGGGUUGGGCUGUUCGCCCAUUAAAGCGGCACGCGAGCUGGGUUUAGAACGUCGUGAGACAGUUCGGUCUCUAUCCGCCGCGCGCGUUGAAACUUGAAGAAGGCUGUCCCUAGUACGAGAGGACCGGGACGGACGUACCUCUAGUGUGCCAGUUGUCACGCCAGUGGCAGGGCUGGUUGGCUACGUACGGGAGGGAUAACCGCUGAAAGCAUCUAAGCGGGAAGCCUGUUUUGAGAUGAGGUUUCUUUUGAGGUUCCCUCUAGACUAGGGGGUUGAUAGGCCAGAUCUGGAAGCGUAGUAAUGCGUUAAGGUGACUGGUACUAAUUUUACCGAGUAAUAACA